GUGUAUUGUGUACUGUGGCUAGUGCAGCUGAUGACAAGGAUGGACAGGAGGCGCGUUCACGAGGGCUCGCGCAGGGCGGGGACGCGCGGGCGCAGGGAUGAGUUGGUGAGAGGAACCCGGAUGCUGAUGCUGAUGGAGAGAGAAGAAGGAAGGAGAAGGAGGAGAGGAUAAAAAGAGAAAAUCCACACACAGAGUUAUGAUCCACCGGGCAGAAGAAGCGCUACAGCCGGCGUUUGGAACACGGAGCGUUUAAAGGCAACGGCAAUGAAACAGAAGUGAAGCUGACAGGAAACCGGGAUUCGCCAUUUUUCUCCUCAGGAUGUCCGGUAACCGGGAGACGGGAGCAAAGCGCUGGGAGGAGCUGCUGUGAGGGAGACGAGGAUAAUACUGAACCUGCUCUUCAUCAUCAUCAUCAUCAUCAUCAUCAUCAUCAUCAUGCUGGAUUUCCUCAGAGAAACGCUUUGUAACUAAAAGAGGACAAAAACACAGUGACUGUGAUCCUGCUUAGGAAAUACCUCAAGGCGGCGGUAGUUCUGUCUGUCUCUGUCCCCGGUCUGUCUCUGUCCCCGGUCUGUCUCUGUCUCUGUCCCCGGUGUGUCUCUGUCUCUGUCCCCGGUGUGUCUGUGUCUCUGUCCCCGGUCUGUCUCUGUCUCUGUCUCUGUCUCUGUCUCUGUUCCACACCCGGAUGCGGCCUGGACAACACCGCGGCUCAGCUAACGGGACACACACACACACACACACACACACACACACACACACACACACACACACACACACACACACACAUCCUACUUGGGCUGUUACAAAUUGACUGAAACAGUGGAACAUUUCUAAGAGUCAGAGAUGGAUCUGGUAUUAUGUAUUAGAUGACAGGCUUAUUUAUUUAUUUAUUUAUUUAUUUAUUUAUUUAACCCUAACACCAUAUCAAUGCCAAUAACUGGGUCACUUCCGGCACCAUCUUCACCAUUCAUUUAGAAAUGAUCUUCAGAUUUUUAUGAUCACAGGAAUCUCCUCAUCACAGACUCAGACAAAGCUGGAUCACCUCGGAUCAGGAAACACAGCGACCCGGAAACGAUUCAAACCUUUUCGCCUAUUCAACAAGGCAGCUAAAGAGGAAGAGGAGCAUCAGCAUCAGCAUCAGCAUCACCUGCAUCCCGUCUGUAAUGUCGGACAGGCGCGUGACGUCAUCACGGAGGACGCAGCGACGCCCACUGAACCGGAAGUGACAGUGAUUUCUUUAUUUUUGUGGUCACUCAUUGAAACUGUUCAUUACUGAGCAUCAUGUCCAGUAAAGAGGUGUCCAGCAGUCACCCUGCUCAGUAUGUUGGGCCUUAUCGCCUGGAGAAGACACUGGGGAAAGGACAGACAGGUUUGGUGAAAUUGGGAGUCCACUGUAUCACAGGACAGAAGGUGGCUAUAAAGAUUGUAAACAGGGAGAAACUCUCAGAGUCUGUCCUCAUGAAGGUGGAGAGAGAGAUCGCCAUUUUGAAGCUAAUCGAACACCCACAUGUCCUCAAACUACAUGAUGUGUACGAGAAUAACAAAUAUCUGUAUUUGGUCUUGGAACACGUGUCAGGAGGUGAGCUGUUUGAUUACUUGGUGAAAAAAGGUCGACUGACUCCUAAAGAGGCUCGGAAGUUUUUCAGACAGAUCAUCUCAGCUCUGGACUUUUGUCACAGUCACUCAAUAUGUCACAGAGACCUGAAACCAGAGAACCUGCUGCUGGAUGAGAAGAACAAUAUCAGGGUAGCUGACUUCGGCAUGGCGUCUCUACAGGUGGGGGACAGUCUGCUGGAGACGAGCUGUGGAUCUCCUCAUUACGCAUGUCCUGAAGUUAUUAGGGGGGAGAAGUAUGAUGGUCGUAGAGCAGAUGUAUGGAGCUGUGGUGUUAUCCUCUUUGCUCUGCUGGUGGGGGCGUUACCCUUCGACCAUGAUAACCUGCGGCAGCUCCUGGAGAAGGUAAAGAGUGGUGUGUUCCACAUGCCUCACUUCAUCCCUCCGGAGUGUCAGGCUCUGCUGAGGGGCAUGAUCGAGGUCAACCCUGAGAAACGUCUUACGCUGGAAGCAAUACAGAAACAUCCAUGGUACCUUGGGGGUCGUAAUGAGCCCUGUCCGGAGCAGCCUCCUCCCAGGCGAGUGUGUGUGAAGAGGAUCUUGUCUCUGACAGAGUUGGACCCCGAUGUGUUGGACAGCAUGCACUCUCUGGGCUGCUUCAGAGACAGAGUCAAACUCACACGAGACCUGCAGUGUGAAGAAGAAAACCAGGAGAAGAUGAUCUACUACCUGCUGCUGGACAGGAAGGAGCGCUAUCCCAGUUAUGAGGAUGAAGAUCUUCCCCCCAGAAAUGAUGUUGAUCCUCCUCGGAAACGUGUGGACUCUCCCAUGCUGACCCGUCACGGUCGCUGCCGGCCCGAGAGGAAGAGUCUGGAGGUGCUGAGUGUGACUGAUCAGGGCUCCCCGACGCCACCUCGCAGAGCCCUUGACACCUCCGCACACAGCCAGAGAUCUCGCUCAGUGAGUGGAGCGUCCACCGGUCUGUCCUCCAGCCCCCUGAGUAGCCCGAGAAGUCCAGUUUUCACCUUCAGCCAAUCUGAGGUUGCCUCUGCCACCGCCACCCAAGCCAAAGAUCCCAAAGUGGGAAGCAGCCCCGCCCAUCGGGCAGCCCAGCGCGUGCCUGACCAAAAAACACAGACGCUUCCAUCCAAGGCCGCAACCGAGAGACCACAUCUGCAGUCUAUGAAGUCUCUUCCCCUGCAGACACCACCCUCCCCCUCACCGUCUCCACUGCUCUCCCCCAUCCCUCGUUUCUUCUUCUUCCCCGCUCCCUCCGUCCUGAAGUCUGUCACUAAGUCCAUCUAUCCUAACUCUACCCAUGUGUCGCAGGUUACGCCCCAGGAUUCCCCGCUUCCCACCCCCCUUGGAACCCCCCAGCAUCCCCCUCCUACCCCACCGUCCUCCUCCUCUUCCUCUUCCUCCUCGCGGGCUGAAGGGGGUGGGGCUGGCAGCAGUGCAGGGGGUGGCUCCCUCACCCUCACUCCCCCCUCCAGCCCCGGUGCAGGUGGUGGAAUGGCUGCUAGCAGCUCCGCCCACUGGAGAAGUCGUCUAAACUCGUUCAAGAACAACCUGCUGGGCUCACCACGCUUCCAUCGCCGCAAGCUGCAGGUUCCUACAUCAGAAGACAUGUCCAGCCUCACGCCCGAGUCAAGCCCAGAGUUGGCUAAGAAGUCUUGGUUUGGGAACUUCAUCAGUCUGGAGAAAGAGGAGCAGAUUUUUGUUGUGAUUCAAGACAAACCUCUGAGCUCCAUCAAAGCUGACAUUGUCCACGCCUUCCUAUCAAUCCCGUCGCUGAGCCACAGUGUAAUCUCCCAGACCAGUUUCCGUGCAGAAUACAAAACCUCCGGCAGCUCCUCCGUCUUCCAAAAGCCCAUUAAAUUCCAGGUGGACAUCGCCUUCUCCGAGGCAGAACGGGAACGAGAGCGAGAGAGAGAGGGAAAAAGGGAGACUGGAAUCUAUAGUGUCACCUUUACCCUCAUCUCAGGUCCUAGUCGCAGGUUUAAGAGAGUGGUGGAGACGAUUCAGGCUCAGCUGCUCAGUACUCAUGACCAGCCCUCUGUACAGGCACUUGCUGAUGAGAAGAAUGGGAUCUCCUCUCCUUCACCUGGCACUCCCACUCACCAGAACUCACGUCGCUCUGAAGGGGGCGGAGAACGUUGUGAGAGGGCGGAGCGUACAGAUAUUGCAGGUACAGGUGGCAGUGGUAGCGUCAUCCAACGCAAAGGCUCAGGAAAGGACAAGACACGCCUCCUGUCGUCCAACGGAACCCAGUCCCAGCCUUGAGAGAACUCUCUAGACACACUCGUAUGGAGCGUUGAAUCUGCCCCAACACACAAACCCCUCCCCUUCACUUGCCCAAAAAGUCCCACAACCCCCCAGUCACAGACCCCACCUCAUGGGUUAACCUGCAGCUCCAAUGCAGCUGGGAGAAAACUAGGAGCAUAUUGAAGUGGAAAUGCUCUUACUCACCGACACUGCGAAUCACCUGCAAACAUCAUAAGCUCUCACAGAGCCUGAACUUUGAUGUCACUCACAUGAAGGAUCUUCAGAUUCAAACAGACUUGAAGUAAACGUUUAAUAAUUAAAACUGAACCUCUGAAGGCUAAGCUACAUAUACAAGUUGCUGAUCAUCUGGAUGGAGGUGGGAAAGGUGGGAUUGUCUCCAUUUCAUCAUCAUGUCAUCAUCACUAUCAUCACAGAAAACUCCUUUUUCAAACUCAAAGAAAUGCCACUAAUAUAAACUGCCUUUCUGAAGACACCUUAUUAAUGACAAUGAUCCAGAAUAAGAUGGGAGAACAUGGUCUGAGAACACGGUCUGAGAACAUGGGCUGAGAACACGGUCUGAGAACACGGUCUGAGAACAUGGGCUGAGAACAUGGGCUGAGAACACGGUCUGAGAACAUGGGCUGAGAACACGGUCUGAGAACAUGGGCUGAGAACAUGGGCUGAGAACAUGGUCUGAGAACACGGUCUGAGAACAUGGGCUGAGAACAUGGGCUGAGAACACGGUCUGAGAACAUAGGCUGAGAACACGGUCUGAGAACAUGGUCUGAGAACACGGUCUGAGAACAUGGUCUGAGAACAUGGUGGACCUCGAAGUGUCAUGUUGAGGGACAUUUCUGUAUGAGCAGAAGAGAAAAAAGAUGAUGAAAGUGAAAUGAUGGCUUUGUGUAGAGAACUGAUGACACAAGUAGAGGAUUUGCUCUGUGAAAACAACUUGAUCCCCAACUCAGCCUCUGAGAACGAGCACGCUUUUAAUCUGAUAUUUAAUUUAGUUUCAUGAUAUUUAAAUGUCCUUUAAUCCGUCCAGAAUCAGGACGAGGAGACAAGAAGCUCUAAAAGACUGAAUUCUGUGACCUUCAGAAUGAACAAAUCCAACCAAGUGAAUGUCAAAGAUCAACAAACACACAAGCUACUUUAAAAGUAAUUAUUUACUUUAAGAUGAAAAAUACAAAACAACAAAGAUGACAAGUGAAGAAGAGAACAAAAAAGACUUGGAGAAGAAAUUCACACCUCAUGUUUGUGGCAGUAAAAAUGUGGUGAAAUCAUAAAGAAAUAAAAAGGUUAUAAACUAAACUGACUCUCGGUGAGAAAGAAGAGGAGAAAAAGGAAACGAGGAGACGCGAAGAUCUGCCUUCAGCAUCAGUAAGAAUGUUAACCACUAACUCCCAAAGACAGACAAAUCUCAUGUACUGAAUGUGAGCAGUAUUCACACACACACACACACACACACACGCACACACACACACACACACUCUCUCUCUCUCUCUCUCUCUUUAAGCCCCUCCCCUCUGAUAGGGACACUGUCCAGUUCCUCUUUGCUCCUGUGUUUAACUCCAAUUAUAAGGUGAUGAAUAAAAUAUCUUCACCUUGAAUCUGGACAAGCAGCAACACUGUUAAAGCUUCAGUCCUGAGGCCAUGUUCAGUGGAAUAAAAAGGUUCAGCGAUGAAGUUAUGAGGUAUUUUAGGAGGAAAGAUUUAAGCCUUCAUUUGGAGAGAAUAAAAUCCUUUAAAACUACAGUAUGACUGUAAAUACAGAGUUUGUGUUUCAGAGGCAGAGGCAGAUAACUUUAGGUUCCUCACAUUGCUUUUAUCAUAAAAAAGAAAACUGAUCCUUGCAGAAGGUCAGAACAUUUAAUGUCUUAAAUUCUGCUCCACCUUUAGGCCAAAAGCCUGUUAGAUUUAAACAGUGGCUCUGUAGCAGCAUCACACAGUACAACACACCCAGGAGAGACUGGUGUGAAGAGCACAAAGUGGGUGUGGCUUCCUGCAGAGUGACGUGAGGAAUAAAGCUGAUGGAGCUGAGCUGCUGAUGGACAGAGUGGAGUUGGAGUUAAUGAGUUACUGAACACUCCAAAUGCCUUAAUCACAAGCUGAGCACGUGGAGCUGACUCUGACUCUCCCCACACACACACACACACACACACACACACACACACACACACACACACAUGCUACUGCAACUGGCACAAAUAUUGCAUCUGAUCAUGAAGAAAUUAUUUUGAGAGAGAGAGUGUAAGGUGAGAAGAGAGGCCAUCAUCAUCAUCAUCAUCAUCAUCAUCAUCAUCAUCAUCAUCAUCUCUGACUGACCCUUUGCUGCCCUCAUCGCACAACACUUCGUCUCCUCUCUCUCUCUCUCUGUCUCUCUCUCUCUCUCUCUCUCUCACUCACACACACACACACACACAGUUCUCACUUGUCUCCUUCACAUGUGUAUCAUCAUUUAUAUACCUCAUGUAUCUACUCUCUCUCUCACUAUAAUUCUUUUUACCUUUUAGAUCAUAAUCCUACCUGCCUGUCCCCAUAUACUCCCACAAACUGCACACCCCCUCACCAACACACACCCCCCCCCCCACAAACCCCCAUCCCCCCACACCCUCUCAUCACCAUUCACCCCUGCACUAAUACCUUUCCUCAUCCCCACACCCACAUACCCUGAUUCCCCAGGCCCCCUCAUACCUCCCACCCCCCUCCACACUUUCCCUCACCCCCACACACCCUCUUUGUUCUUUAUCCAUACUAUAUUUAUGAUGAUUAUUGAUUAUCAUGUCAUUGUUAUUGAUUAUAUAUGAUAAGAUUGUAAAUCUGUACCCCCUACAUGCUCCCCUACACACAUCAUUAUACCCUCUACAGCCCCCCCACCCCCCGCCCCACCUCUCACAGCACAGUAGAAACCAUGUAUUCCAAAUGAUGAUGGAAGUCUUUUAUUUUGGUGGAAAACCAUGAAGGAUGAAAAUAAAAUGUCUGUAUUAUAAUUCAAAUAA